ACUUCUAACAGCUCAGAUCUGCCCUGCCUGCUUUUUGUUGCUUAAUAGAAGUGGAACAAAACAUGGUGCCCUUCAUUGCCUGUCUUCCUUUACGCCACACUGUUUCUGAGAGAUUCAUCCAUGUGGCUGCAUGUAGUUUGAGAUCACUCAUCAGUCCACUGCGUCUUAACUCUCUGAAGUUGAUAUUUUACUUGUGGGAGUUGUUAAGAGCACAGAAGCAGGAACUAGGGUGUCUGUGUUGAAAACCCAGUUUCUCUAUUAGGUGUAUCGCCCUGGGCACCUACUGAAGAUAGAUACAAUUGUGGUGAUGCUGGAUAUUUUAAAUCUGUUUUUAUUCCCGAAGGGAUCUUCCUGACCCAGGGAUCGAACUUGAGUACUUUUGCAUUGGCAGAUGGGUUCUUUACCACUGAGCCACCUGGGGAGCCCCUCUGAGGGAAUCUGGAAAACCUGUUGCUGCUGCUAAGUCACUUCAGUCGUGUCCGACUCUGUGCGACCCCAUAGACGGCAGCCCACCAGGUUCCACUGUCCCUGAGAUUCUCCAGGCAAGAACACUGGAGUGGGUUGCCAUUUCCUUCUCCAAAGCAUGAAAGUGAAAAGUGAAAGUGAAGUCUCUCAGUCAUGUCUGACUCUUAGCGACCCCAUGGACUGCAGCCUACCAGGCUCCUCCAUCCAUGGGAUUUUCCAGGCAAGAGUACUGGAGUGGGGUGCCAUUGCCUUCUCUGGGAAAACCUACAAAGAGUAAUAAAU
ensembl:lncRNA